GAUCAUGACUCAGGACGAACGCUGGCGGCGUGCUUAACACAUGCAAGUCGAACGAGAAUCUACUGAAAGAGUUUUCGGACAAUGGAAGUAGAGGAAAGUGGCGGACGGGUGAGUAACGCGUGAGGAACCUGCCUUGAAGAGGGGGACAACAGUUGGAAACGACUGCUAAUACCGCAUGACGCAUAGGGGUCGCAUGAUCUUUAUGCCAAAGAUUUAUCGCUUCAAGAUGGCCUCGCGUCCG
rnacentral:rRNA from 1 species